AUAUAUGUUACUUCAGAAUUCAAGAUUUUAUCUUUUGAAUUUUAAAUAAUUUGCGCCAAAAUUAUAUAUCGCGCCUGCAGCGCUCUCUCCCAUCAGCUUCGCUAACGUUCGGAUAAUCUCGUUACCAGUUCCACCCUUUGUGUAUCUAUUAUCUAUGGGUAUCAAUUAUCUAUGAGUUCCACUAAGGUGAUUAUUCAGAUAAAAUAAUUUGUUUUAAAACUAGUUAUCGUGAUAAUUAAUAAUAGUGGAUAUAUUUAAACUGUGUGUUUCUCAAGCGGCUAUUAUAUCAUCAGUAACGUCGAUGUGACAAAAUAAAGUAAUACAUAGAUGUACUUUGGAAUAGACUGUUUCCAGCCUUUACCAAUGCCAAAUACUGUUUCGUCCAGCUGUUCAACCUACACACAGACGAUGCAUUUCUUUUUGUCUUUGUUUCCAAGAGAUUGACUUUGAAUGAGAAGGAGAAAGACAACACUGAAGUUGAUUUGGAUGUUAUGCAGCAACCAGUAUCUACAAUGGUAUUGUGGUUUUUUCUGGACUUUGUAUUCUGUUGUUGUCCUCAUCUUGCAGCAUUAUGCAGUUAAGUUUGGGCCGAUGAAAGAGAACAACGGGAAAUUUUUUUUAAAAGCACUAAACGUGUUACCAUUCUUCCUGGGCUUGGCUUGCCCUUCACACUUGUAAAACUUUGGAACAUUGCAUUCUACAGUUAAUUAAGAUUGAUCAAGUAAGAAAAUUAAAGUUCAUGUUGGUUGCAUCUAAAUAACCAAUUUCUACAUUGGAGGCAUAAUGCAGUUAAUUUUGGGCUGAUGAGAUAGAACUGGAAAUUUAUUUGGAAACCAAACAUGUCAUUGUUCGUUCAUUUGACUUGCUCUUCACACUUGUAAAACUCUGGAACGUUGCAUUCUUCAUUUAUUUAAGGUGAGAAUAUAUGAUGUGAUUGGUAUUAAUGUUCUUUAUUAAUUUGUUUUGGUGUUUAUUUUAAUAUCUACUGUUCUUAGCACAAAUUGAGGUUAUCGUACAUCUAUGGUAAUUCAUUCAGCAGUUAUCUAUUGUCCUUAGUAAAUUGACAUUGUUCAUUUUUGUUCAUAAAAUAAAUUGAGAUUGUGAAUCUAUGAUUGUUUCACAUUUAUCUAUGCUAUGAUGUAAAUUGACAGUUGUUGCCAUCUUAUAAUUCUGUCAUUUUAUUUGCGUUUUGAUGCAUAUUUUGUUGUAUUUCGUAUCUUAUUUAUGUGACAGUGUAAUUAAUUAGUACUUUCUUUUAGGUGUUUAAUGCCUUCCG
rnacentral:lncRNA from 1 species